UCCGUGGUGCCACGCCUUUCCCAAAGCACAGGCUGGAGGUGGACGUUCUCUACUGUUACCUUGGCACAAAGGUGAAUUUGUUUGGAAAGUUUCAACAAAACCUACUCAUCUGUUUUGCUGUCCUGGAAAACUAUGGAGGGAUGACCCUCGGGAAGCAAAGAAAUGGUUUGCACAAUGUAACUCUGAAAGUCCCCACUUUAAGUUGAAACAUUACAGAGCCUGGAAUUCAGAGAGGAAAAUACAGAUCAAGUACACUUCAGAACCCACAGGAAAUGCUCUUCUAUUUUGUCCUCGGAUUCAGUCUGUCCCCAGCAUACCUCAAACUUAAAAUGAAGCCACCUUCCCCCCCGGGGACCAGCGGUGUAUUCCUCAGUCUCCUUUAGUGUUCUUCUCUGCCUGUCUUUACUGCUAGCGGCUUGUUACUCUAAUCACGAGGGUGACAGAUUUUGCAUUUCCUUGAACUUCCUACCAGAACAAACCUCCAGCCGUUGCCCAUGACCACCACCAAUCAUCAUUUGCUUAUGACCACUGCCCACGCCCUUCCCUGUGACCUCUCACACCCAUCAGGUGUGACCGUUAGCCACAACUGCAGAAUUAUCCACGGGUUUCAGCUUCUGCCUCUGCAGUUCAGAGAGCACGGCUGAUGACAAUGGGAUGGAUGUAGGAUCCAGGCUCACACCGUUCUUGGAGAGAAAACGGUCGCACACACUUCAGCCAGGAGAGGUGGGCAGACCCCAGGCGCGGUGAGAGAGGGACUGGCCAUCUACACACCACCGCCUCUCGCCUGGCGGCUCUCGGACACCCACUCGGAGGCUGGAACAGAGGCUGCA